UAACUCUGGUUUCCCCUUCCAACGCCUACAUCUUUCGCCUUUUGACUAAAGAUUUCCGUGGAGGGGACACUCCUAAUGAGUCUUACUCAAUUUUUUCUAUAGCCCACUUCGUUGGGUUC